GACGAGCCUCACAAACAUUAUUCGGAAUUACUGGGCUUAAAGGGUGCGUAGGCGGCGCGGAAAGUUGGGUGUGAAAUCCCUCGGCUCAACCGAGGAACUGCGCCCAAAACUACCGUGCUCGAGGAAGAUAGAGGUGAGCGGAACUUACGGUGGAGCGGUGAAAUGCGUUGAUAUCGUAAGGAACACCCGUGGCGAAAGCGGCUCACUGGGUCUUCUCUGACGCUGAUGCACGAAAGCUAGGGGAGCAAACGGG
rnacentral:rRNA from 1 species